ACGGCCAUACCCAGGCGAAAACACCAGUUCCCGUCCGAUUAGUGCAGUAAGUAAAAACGUCUGAGGGCUUCGUUAGUACUACGGUUGGAAACAACAUGGGAAUCCGGAAUGCUGUAGGUU